CUGACUCUUGAUUUUGGCUCAGGUCAUGGUCGCAGGGUCAUGGGAUCAGGCCCUGUGUUGGCCGAGCGUGGAGCCUGCUUGGGAUUCUCUCUUUCUCGUCCUCUUCCCCUCACCUUUCUCUCUCUCUCUUUCUCUAAUAAAUAAAUGAAAAUAAAAAAUGAAAAAAGUACAGUGUGUUUGUAGACACAUCAACACACGUGUUAUGUAUGCACAUAUAUAUGUGUUUUUCGGGUUGUUUUUUUUUUUUAAUAUUUCCCUUUGAGAGAGGGAUGGACAGAGUGUGAGCAGGGGAGGGGCAGAAAGAGAGGGAGACACAGAAUCCGAAGCAGGCUCCGGGCUCCAAGCUGUCAGCACAGAGCCGGACACGGGACCCGAACCAACCAACCGUGAGAUCGUGACCUAAGCCCAGCGCUCAACCGACUGAGCCACCCAACUGCCCCGAGAUUCGUGUGUUUUAGAUGCCAGCAAGCCAAGUAUCGGUAUUCAGACAGCAAGACCAAGGUUGGGCUGUAAAUGUUAAAAGCCCUGAUUUAUGUUGCUGUCCUCGUGAAGCACAGCCAUGGAAGCUCAGCCUACUUCUCAUGGAGUAGGAUUGUUGAGCUACCAAACUAUUUUUCAAAAAAGCGAGUGGAGGUUUCUUUAAAUAUCCAACAAGUACCAAGAACGGUGCCAUCAUUCCAUCCCGUUAAGUGGAGUGCCAGGUGACGGUCACCGAGCAGCAGAAUGGAGCCCAGCAUUCAGCCUUGUAUUUCCUACCGCAUUUAAGGCUUUGUUAAAGAAUAUUUUAAGGACAUCUCUUCUGUCAUAAAAGAACUCAGUUAAAGUCUGAUGGAACCACUGGCCUGCACCAACCACAGAUAGGCCGUCUUCUUUCCCCUCCCUCAGUAGACGCCAGAGAUGUUUCCUCUCGAGUUGUUGGGGUUCAACUUGACAAAAUUCUAGAGGCGGUACAGAGUCUGUGAUCAGAAAAAUGCCUUGAUCACGGCGAAAAUCUGCUCGUGCCGGUGGACCGGAGAGAAGGCAGAAGAACCAGUUGUGUCUCGGGGUAGCUGUUCUCCCUCGAAAUCCGGUAAAAAUGGCCCCGUGAAUGCAGGGCCUAAAAGUGAGUCCCCAAAGUGAGGGGCCUCUGGGACCCACACGCCAUCCCCCAAACAGGAAGAAUCAUUUUCCUGGCAACGGAAAGAUGAAUCAUGCAUUUCACAAAGGAGACGCAAGGUUCGGUAAUGUGCGACCUUGAUUUACAAUGGCCUCCAGAUUUAUUGUUGUGUAUUUUUAAACCAUGCUAUUUAAAACACAGCUAAUUUAAAAGCUAGUGUGUAGGCCCCGUCUGACUAGUGCUAAAGAUUUACUCUGUGCUAAUAAGAAAAUUAUUGUGUCUACGCUAUUCCCACUUCUCCCGCACUGUGUGAUCCAACCUCCAAUAAAAUUGCUUGUCAGGUGAGAGACA